GGACGAGCCUCUGGAGAGACUCUAUUAAGGAGCACCGAAGGAGCAAGAUACAUUUAUUUAUUUGUAUCCAAACUCUCAGGUAAAAGGACAGGGGAUUUAUA
rnacentral:ncRNA from 2 species